GAACGCUGGCGGUGUGCUUAACACAUGCAAGUCGAACGGUAAGGCCCUUUCGGGGGUACACGAGUGGCGAACGGGUGAGUAACACGUGAGUAACCUGCCCUCAUCUCUGGGAUAACAGUCGGAAACGGUUGCUAAUACUGGAUAUGAGCUUGCAAGGCAUCUUGUGGGUUGGAAAGAUUUUUUUGGUUGGGGAUGGACUCGCGGCCUAUCAGCUUGUUGGUGAGGUAGUGGCUCACCAAGGCUUCGACGGGUAGCCGGCCUGAGAGGGCGACCGGCCACAUUGGGACUGAGAUACGGCCCAAACUCCUACGGGAGGCAGCAGUGGGGAAUAUUGCACAAUGGACGGAAGUCUGAUGCAGCAACGCCGCGUGCGGGAUGACGGCCUUCGGGUUGUAAACCGCUUUCAAUUGUGACGAAGCUUUUUGUGACGGUAGCAGUAGAAGAAGCACCGGCUAACUACGUG
rnacentral:rRNA from 1 species